GCUUGACUGUAGCUUGUAAUUGAGAUUCGGGCUUUUUUUGCGCAGCACUAGGUGGGAGGCGAUACGAUGAUUUUUUUCCGGGAAAAAUUUUAAGCCGUCUAGUGAGAGACCACUCUGAGAAAGGCUAGAAUCCUAAUAAUGAUCCUUGAAUCAGGACAUUUGACAGUUGCAGGUGGGCAGUUUUACUGGGGCGGUAUUCUCCUAAAAAGUAACGGAGGGGUGCAAAGGUUCCCUCAAGCUGGACGGAAAUCAGCUUAAGAGUGUAAAGGCAAAAGGGAGCUUGACUGCAAGACCUACAAGUCGAGCAGGGGCGAAAGCCGGCCUUAGUGAUCCGACGGUACCACGUGGAAGGGCCGUCGCUCAACGGAUAAAAGUUA
rnacentral:rRNA from 1 species